rnacentral:rRNA from 1 species
AGAAUCAACGCUGGCGGCGUGCCUAACACAUGCAAGUCGAACGCGAAAGCCCCGCAAGGGGCAAGUAGAGUGGCGAACGGCUGAGUAACACGUGGGUGACCUGCCUUCGAGCGGGGGAUAACGUCCCGAAAGGGACGCUAAUACCGCAUGACAUCCUGCCUUUGAAGAGGUGGAGAUCAAAGCUGGGGAUCGCAAGACCUAGCACUUGAAGAGGGGCCCGCGUCUGAUUAGCUAGUUGGUGGGGUAACGGCUCACCAAGGCAACGAUCAGUAUCCGGCCUGAGAGGGCGGACGGACACACUGGGACUGAGACACGGCCCAGACUCCUACGGGAGGCAGCAGUGGGGAAUUGUUCGCAAUGGGCGCAAGCCUGACGACGCAACGCCGCGUGGAGGAUGAAGACCUUCGGGUCGUAAACUCCUUUCGAUCGAGACGAAUGGCUUCCGGGUGAACAAUCCGGAAGAAUGACGGUACCGAGAGAAGAAGCCCCGGCUAACUCCGUGCCAGCAGCCGCGGUAAUACGGGGGGGGCAAGCGUUGUUCGGAAUUACUGGGCGUAAAGGGCUCGUAGGCGGCCAACUAAGUCAGACGUGAAAUCCCUCGGCUUAACCGGGGAACUGCAUCUGAUACUGGAUGGCUUGAGAUUGGGAGAGGGAUGCGGAAUUCCAGGUGUAGCGGUGAAAUGCGUAGAUAUCUGGAGGAACACCGGUGGCGAAGGCGGCAUCCUGGACCAACACUGACGCUGAGGAGCGAAAGCCAGGGGAGCAAACGGGAUUAGAUACCCCGGUAGUCCUGGCCCUAAACGAUGAAUGCUUGGUGUGGCGGGUAUCGAUCCCUGCCGUGCCGAAGCUAACGCAUUAAGCA